UACGGACAUAUCGUGUUGAAACACCGGUUCCCGUGAGAUCACCGAAGUUAAGCAAAUCCGACCCAGGUCAGUACUUAGAUGAGUGACCGCUUGGGAAUAACAGGUUGUUGG